UACGGGGGGGGCAAGCGUUGUUCGGAAUUACUGGGCGUAAAGGGCUCGUAGGCGGCCAACUAAGUCGGAUGUGAAAUCCCCAGGCUCAACUUGGGAACUGCAUCCGAUACUGGAUGGCUUGAAUCCGGGAGAGGGAUGCGGAAUUCCAGGUGUAGCGGUGAAAUGCGUAGAUAUCUGGAGGAACACCGGUGGCGAAGGCGGCAUCCUGGACCAACACUGACGCUGAGGAGCGAAAGCCAGGGGAGCAAACGGG
rnacentral:rRNA from 1 species